UCACUUCCUGUUGUGUGGCCCAGACAGGGCACUGUCUGUGGCCCCAGGGGUUGAGGACCCCUGGCUUUAACAACAGAAAGACCCCAGUUACUGGAUUGGGAUCCACCCUCACUCAAUAUGGCCUCAGCUUAAUGAAAGACAUCUGCAGAGACCCUAUUUCUACUAAAAGCCACAUUCUGAGACUUCUCGUGGGCGUGAGUUUUUGAGAGACACUGUUCUGCUCCAUGCAGGGAGGGAAUUGGGAUCUGAAGACGUUGCAUUCGAGGUCUCGGGGCUCCUGAUGAGCAGCCUCGGCCUGACCUGGGGCAGGUGUGAUGUCUGCGGCUCACCAUCUCCACCCUGCCUGCUGUGGAAUCUCCACAACGACAGGUGCUUUGGAGGCCAGAGUGCAUGCGUACGGGCCCUGCACACGCUGAAUGUCACUGGGAACAAGGACACACCCCGCUUCCAGGAGAAGAUAGAACAUGUCGACCCCUUUUACCAUAUGACACAUUAUCAGACCAAACCAGAGCUCUUGGUUUUCGGAUCUGGGGAUGAAUUCUUUAGCACAGAUGGAACCAUGAACUUCUAUGAUCAACUGCCAGGAAGGAAAUACCUCAGAGCCAUCCCCAGUGCAGGACAUGCUAUUGACUUCCAUGAGACAAACACCUACUUGGAAAUCAGGUUUUUUCUGUACCUUUUGAAGGAGCAGGAAUUUCCCAGCAUUUCCUGGACAAAGACGGAGGCCACAUUCGCUGCAUCCUUUCCAGCAAGAUGUCAUUCUGAGAUUUUUGUCAUUCCUGGGCGUUAUGAGGACUGCCAAGGGACACAAUUCCAUGGGAGGAAAGUUUUCUUCUAAGCUGCAAGCCAGCUCUGGCUUCUGGAGUUUCUCCUUAGGAUUGCAAGACAGUAGUUCCCUGUCCUUUAGGUCUUCUCCAGAAAUACCUUAAAAUAGCAAAUAAAAUAAGAUAUAAGCAAACAAAACCUGAA
rnacentral:lncRNA from 1 species